UUUUUUUUUUUUAACCUUUGUCACAUCAUUAAAACACUCUGCACUCUCUUUAAAAUUCAAAAUUUAAAAUUCUCUACCAUUGUUAGUUAAAGAUAUGAUGAGAAGGUCUAUAAUAUAUAUCUAUAACUAAAUAUUAAAAGCGUGAAAACCAUAUGACUAAAGUAUCCUCAAAACUCUCUCAAAUUACCUGAUUCACCCACCGCCAUCGUUGGUUGAAUAAUGCUUGGGACCCCCUUUUGGGGGUCACCCCUUUGCCACGUGACGGGUGGUGAUUGGAGGAGCAGGAAAAAAAAAGAAAAAGAAAAAGAAAAUGUAACCAAUGAGAGAGAAAGGGAGUCAAAGGGGGUGGGAGGAAAAGGAGGGAUGAAUCAUUGUUGAUUGUUGGUUUUGCAAGUCUGAAGCCAUAUGGGCUUGCAAGUCUGAAGCCAUAUGGCCACGUGGUCUCACGAAAGACAACUGGCAGCAUUGAUGGUGUGCCACGUAACCGACUCAUCAUCAUCAGUCAAAGAGGUUAUGGAAUAUGGCCGUGACAAAUGACAACAGGUAUAUAUUGCUCAAUCCUAAGACACCUCAACUGAGACGAGGAUUAAAAAAUCAAGCACAAGCUUGGGGGGAAGAGGAAAAUUUAGCAAACAGAUUCACUUGGUAAAGAAAUGUUGAUCAUUGGAUGAAUCAACAUUGAUUCUGUGAACUUGUUUUUGAUAGUGAUGUGUUCAAUUUUUACUUGUGGAUCACCCAUGUUGUUGAAAGACUUUCGAAUUAUAUCUCUACUGUGGUGGAGCAGUUGGAAGACUCCAAUUCUUAAACAA